UACGGAGGGGGCUAGCGUUGUUCGGAAUUACUGGGCGUAAAGCGCACGUAGGCGGCUUUGUAAGUUAGAGGUGAAAGCCCAGAGCUCAACUCCGGAACUGCCUUUAAGACUGCAUCGCUUGAACGUUGGAGAGGUAAGUGGAAUUCCGAGUGUAGAGGUGAAAUUCGUAGAUAUUCGGAAGAACACCAGUGGCGAAGGCGACUUACUGGACAACUGUUGACGCUGAGGUGCGAAAGCGUGGGGAGCAAACAGG
rnacentral:rRNA from 1 species